AACGAACGCUGGCGGCAUGCCUAACACAUGCAAGUCGAACGAUCCCUUCGGGGAUAGUGGCGCACGGGUGCGUAACGCGUGGGAACCUGCCCUUAGGUUCGGAAUAACUCAGAGAAAUUUGAGCUAAUACCGGAUAAUGUCUUCGGACCAAAGAUUUAUCGCCUUUGGAUGGGCCCGCGUUGGAUUAGCUAGUUGGUGGGGUAAAGGCCUACCAAGGCGACGAUCCAUAGCUGGUCUGAGAGGAUGAUCAGCCACACUGGGACUGAGACACGGCCCAGACUCCUACGGGAGGCAGCAGUGGGGAAUAUUAGACAAUGGGCGAAAGCCUGAUCCAGCAAUGCCGCGUGAGUGAUGAAGGCCUUAGGGUUGUAAAGCUCUUUUACCCGGGACGAUAAUGACAGUACCGGGAGAAUAAGCCCCGGCUAACUCCGUG
rnacentral:rRNA from 1 species